GUGGGGAAUAUUGCACAAUGGGGGAAACCCUGAUGCAGCAACGCCGCGUGAGUGAAGAAGUAUUUCGGUAUGUAAACUUCUAUCAGCAGGGAAGAAAAUGACGGUACCUGACUAAGAAGCCCCGGCUAACUACGUGCCAGCAGCCGCGGUAAUACGUAGGGGGCAAGCGUUAUCCGGAUUUACUGGGUGUAAAGGGAGCGUAGACGGUAUGGCAAGUCUGAUGUGAAAGGCCGGGGCUCAACCCCGGGACUGCAUUGGAAACUGUCGGACUGGAGUGCCGGAGGGGUAAGCGGAAUUCCUAGUGUAGCGGUGAAAUGCGUAGAUAUUAGGAGGAACACCAGUGGCGAAGGCGGCUUACUGGACGGUAACUGACGUUGAGGCUCGAAAGCGUGGGGAGCAAACAGG
rnacentral:rRNA from 1 species